UUAAUUAUUUCGAAGUUUUUCAUGCUAUUCAUGAUUGAGUUAAGAAACAGAUUCCGACUAGAUACACAACCUAUGCUUACGCAUCUAGCUUUUCCUGAUUCAGUGCUGCCCUCUGUAUGCGAGCUUUUCGUUCGCCACCAUCCUUGGGGCUUUCACCUGAUCUUACGUGUUUCCACGUGAUGUUGCUACAUAAUUGCAUGUGACAACCCUCCAUAAAUAGGACUGUGACACCGCCGCCUAGAACAGCUGGUUCCCUCUAGACUGAUUGCUCAAUCAUCACUUCUCAAUUUGGCACUCGUGAGUUAAGACAUAUUUUUUUUCGCAUGCGUGAGAUUUCUCUACAUGUUUGGUUCAAGUAUCUAUAAAACAAACUGUUGUGGAAAUAUUUUUUUUGUUUUUAUUUUCAAACAAUUCUGCCUCUGCAGACUUUGUAGCUCUUAUUUUCCACAACAGAAUUACUCAGAGACGGUCAUUGUCACGCUGUUUAGUAUUGAACGUCUGGACUGCGUUCUCUCUAAACAGAUUAUCACAAGGGUACUGAGUAUCUUUGUCUGUCAGGGAACGUGGUGGCUAUUGUGUAGUGGGUGGUGAAGUCUUGCAUGUGGCCUGUGCAUUAUUUAAGCCUUGACGCAUACUUCUCUCUUCCUAUAAUUCCAAUUCAUGAAGAUGUGCAUUUUAGGCAGCUUUUUUUCCCACUUCCUCAGUUUGCAAAUAAUUCUUCCACUAGAUACAUAGAUCUACCUUGACAUUCUGCAUCCUUCCAUGACUUUUCUUCUUAGGUAUGUUACCUUUUUCUUUCUUUCCUAUUUCUUAUUAUUCUUUACUUUCCCAUUUUCAUUUGGUUCCUUCUUCAGAAUAUUAUAUUUCCUCCUUCCCCUGAUAUCUGAGUCCAUGCUGAAAACAUUGUUUUGUCUCAAUUCUCUGGUGCUGGUAUGCAUUGUCCUCCUUGACUGGUUGCACAUAUGCCUUGGGUUACAAUCAAGCUGAAGCCCUUUUCUUGGAUUCCCAAACUCUGGCAUCUUCUUCAGGCAUUGGAGCUCUGAUCAGUUGUCCUCUGUUAGUUUUUCUCAAGCACAGUUUACUCAACUUUUCCGUACCCUCACUAGCCCUUUUACAUUACCUAUCCAUCAACCAUUUCCCUGAGUUGUUUUUGGUAGACCCUUGUUUCAUUCUUAUUUCUACAUUGGUGCAAUCUUCUUCCUUGGUCUUUUCCCUUCUCACUUAGUUACUCUAUUGCUGGGAUUUGUUGGAGAGGAAUGCCCUUCAUGCUGAAGUAUGUUUACUUUCCUUUUACUUUGGGGACAUUUGACUGAUUCCUUUCUUCCACCAUUGGGGUUUUGGUGAGGUACCUCAUUCUUUGUAGUCAUAAGCUAAGUCUGCAUACGAACAUUUUAUUGUAACUACCCUGAUGUCCUGUUUUUCCCAAGCUCAUUCUCUUCCAAUUCCUAUCUCCCAACUCCUUUCCACUCCCUGUUCUUCCAUCCUGUACCUCUUCUCCUAUCCAUAGGUUUCAGUGCCAACAGACUCAUCAGUGACUAUCUUUUGGGCUCAGGAACAGUAGGGGUGGGGUAGCCUUUGGUUCAAUUUGUGGAUCUAUUGAUUCAUUUUGUGGCUGCAGGUCCUAUCUGUUGGCUUUAUUUUUAAUUUUUCUUCUCCUGUUCCCAUUUAUUUAUUUCCUCUAAGGGACUUUUCUCCAACUAGCAUCUCUCUGAGGAGGUUUCAGAUAUUUUGGCCAAGGAUGCUAUGAAAGGGUUUCUCACCCUUCUGUGGGAUUUUAUUCUUUGUCUGUUUGUUGUUUCCCAAUACACCAGGAGAUUGGCUUACCAUCAUUGUUCUCUUCUAUCUCCAUCAGUUUCUUAUCUUUCCUCAGUUUACCAUAAUGAGUUUUCUCACCUUUCAUGUGGUCUUUUUCUCCAGGACUUUGGAUGACCAAGGUUGAUGUCUCUGAUGCUUACCUCCACCUUCCCAUCCUCCCAGAAUCUAGACUUUAUCUUCAGUCUGUGUAUAUCAUAUUCAGGUUUAUGCCCCCUAUACUGCUCCAAGAUAUAAAGUGUUGCACUCCUUGGGUGCUUUUUGAAGGAGACUCAUCUAGGUAAAAUUUUGUGCCAGUUCCUCCACCUCUGGAACAUGGGAUUCUAGCUAUAUUGAUGAUUGAACAGUCAGUGUAGAGGGAGCCAGCUGUGAUAGGAGGUGGUUUUGCACUUUUGUUGGUGAAAGGUUGUUGCAUGUAACAAUGCAGCAAUAUCACAUGGAGACACCUGAGAUUAGGUGGGAGCUCCAACGUUAGUGGCAAGCAAAAACGUUUGCAUAUAGAAGGAAGCACUGAAU